GACUGACUGACCUUCUGUAACACUGCCACCUGCUGCUGACUGACCGACCUUCUGUAACACUGCCACCUGCUGCUGACUGACUGACCUUCUGUAACACUGCCACCUGCUGCUGACUGGCUUUCUGCUCUCACAUCAUCCUGACGUUUGGAUCUGAAGCUGGACAGAGACAGGAAAGGAGAGAGAGAGGUUGGCAGACAAAGGGACUCGGGUUUCAAUCAAACUCACCACUGCAGAAAGGACUCAGCCUUUACACAUGGUAUGCAUUGUAACAGGUUCACAAAAAAUCACCACUUAAUUGCUGAAUAAAUCUAUAAAAAUGGGAAACAAAGUACCAUCAGAAUGUAACAUGGGCGACCGCCUGAGAUGCUGCAAGUGUUAUAAAGUCCUGCCUCCGUGCACAUCCUUUGAUAAUCUCUCCAAAAGUACUGUUCAUGGGCGGUACGUCUAUGUGUUCAAUGGAGGUGAAUACUACAGACCAGUUGGCGCCGAUAAUAUGUACGAGUGUGAAUACUGCUUUAAUAAACCAAUCAGGGAUCAAGAGCAAAUGAGGAGAGAGGAGGAGAGGAGAAGAGAGGAGGAGAGGAGGAGAGAGGAGGAGAGGAGAAGAGAGGAGGAGAGACAGAGAGAGGAGGAG